CCUACGAGAGGCAGCAGUGGGGAAUAUUGCACAAUGGGGGAAACCCUGAUGCAGCGACGCCGCGUGAGUGAAGAAGUAUUUCGGUACGUAAAGCUCUAUCAGCAGGGAAGAAAAAAAGUCCUUUGGACUUUGGACGGUACCUGACUAAGAAGCCCCGGCUAACUACGUGCCAGCAGCCGCGGUAAUACGUAGGGGGCAAGCGUUAGCCGGCUUUACUGGGUGUAAAGGGGGCGCAGGCGGGGAUUCAAGCCAGGAGUGCAAGCCUGGGGCCCAACCCCGGGACUGCUCUUGGAACUGCGUGGCUGGAGUGCAGGAGGGGCAGGCGGAAUUCCUGGUGUAGCGGUGAAAGGCGUAGAUAGCAGGAGGAACACCGGUGGCGAAGGCGGCCUGCUGGACUGCAACUGACGUUGAGGCCCGAAAGCGUGGGGAGCAAACAGGAUUAGAUACCCGGGUAGUC
rnacentral:rRNA from 1 species